rnacentral:rRNA from 1 species
GAGAACGCCGGGGACGUGGCGGCGGGGGAGAGCCGCAAGCUGUUCGUGGGUGGCAUCCCGUCCUCAGCGCAGGAGACGGAGCUGCGGGGCCACUUUGCCCGCUUCGGUGCGGUGCGCUCAAUCGUCGUGAUGCGGGACAAGGAGUCGGGCCACGGCCGCGGGUUCGGGUUCGUCGAGUUCGAGGACGAAGAAGCGGCCGCCAAGGCGCUCGGUGACGGGGAGAGGCCCAAGCACUUCAUCUGCGGCCGACUGGUCGACGUUAAGAGGGCGCGUGCUAGACCUCCGCGGAACUUGGGCGAGCAACCUGUGCAUCAGCAUCAGCAUCAGCAUCAGCUGGAACAGGGUCCGGUUCAGGGUCACCAAGACGCUGGGGACAGUACCGGGGCCAGUAGUGACAGUAUGAGCUAUGCUUCAAAGAAGGUAUUCAUUGGUGGUUUGCGUGACAACAUCACAGAGGAGGAGUUCAGAGCUUACUUUGAGGCGUUUGGCACUGUAACAGAUGUUGUUGUGAUAUACGACAGCCUGACAAGCAGGUCAAGGGGUUUUGGUUUUGUCACCUUUGAUUCUGAGGAAGCUGUGAGAAAGGUGAUGAGGCAAAGCUUUCAUGACUUGAAAGGGACAAGGGUGGAAGCAAAGAUCGCUAUCCCCAAGGAUGCUCAGUAUUACCGUAAUGGCCGAGGUCGUGGCUCAAGAACCUUUGGUGGAAGGGGUCCUGUUGGCUUUGAUGGUUCAACAUACCAACCGUACAAUAACCGACAUGGUUUCUACAAUGGCUAUAUGCCACAACCUGUUCCCACACAUCCCUACUAUCAUGGCCUCUAUUUUGGUAUGGGAGGCAAUCCCUAUGCAAAUGCAUAUCCAAACCAUGCAGUCAUGGCAAAUGUUCCAAACAUGGUGGCAAGGCGUCCAGUAUAUAGCCCAUAUCCCCCAAUGUAUCCUGGCUAUGGUUUUGCAUACAGAAGUGGUUAUGCGGGUGCUGCGCCUUCUGUUCCGUAUGGCGUUAAUGGUGGCAGGGAUUACAUGAAUGACCAAGACUCUAUGGAUGUACAAGAACUUGACAGCGCUGCUACCAUUGCUACAAAGUUUGAAUACAUGAAGCUAGGUUCACAAUGA